rnacentral:rRNA from 1 species
AAAUUGACGGGGACCCGCACAAGCAGCGGAGCAUGUGGUUUAAUUCGAAGCAACGCGAAGAACCUUACCAGAUCUUGACAUCCAAUUGACCAUCUUUUAAUCGAGAUUUUGCCUUUGGGUACAAUUGAGACAGGUGGUGCAUGGUUGUCGUCAGCUCGUGUCGUGAGAUGUUGGGUUAAGUCCCGCAACGAGCGCAACCCUUGUGUUUAGUUGCAAACAGGUCAAGCUGUGCACUCUAGACAGACUGCCGUGGACAACACGGAGGAAGGUGGGGAUGACGUCAAAUCAUCAUGCCCCUUAUGAUCUGGGCUACACACGUGCUACAAUGGCCGGUACAGCGGGAAGCGAGGCAGUGAUGCCAAGCGGAUCCCUUAAAGCCGGUCUCAGUUCGGAUUGAAGUCUGCAACUCGACUUCAUGAAGCUGGAAUCGCUAGUAAUCGCAGAUCAGCCAAGCUGCGGUGAAUACGUUCCCGGGCCUU